ACAUUCGUUAGAAACCAUAAUUCAAGUACCCAUACAGUCAUUCUGUUUUUCACUUUCAGUACGGUAUUCAGUAAAUUCCAUGAAAUAUUCAACACUUCAUUAUAAAAUAGGCUUUGUGUUAGAUGAUUUGCCCAACUGUAGGGUAAUAUAAGUGUUCUGAGCAUGUUCUAGGCAGGCAAGGUUAAGCUGUAAUGUUCGGUAGGUUAGGUGUAUUAAAUGCAUUUUCAACUUAAUAUAUUUUCAACUUACGAUGGAUUUAUCAGGGACAUAUCCCCGUCGUAAAUUGAGGAGCAUCUGUAGUUUAUUGGCUGAAUACUUUUGAAAUCAACCUUAUUAUGACAACUUUUCUGAUGAAAUUAAAAGGAUUGAGAGUUUACCUCUUAGCUUGUCAUACUUUGGGGGUAUGAGGACUAGCCUUCUCAUUCGGUCUCCUCCCACAUUUUUCAUCUCCCCUUCACGCAAGUACUACCCUUCUAGACUUUCUUUGAUUAUUAACUAGAGAAAUUUAUUAUUUUUUCAUUUAUUGAGCACCAAUUGUGUUCACACUGCUGUGCCGGGCACCGUGGCAUACAGAUGUGAGGAAAGUGCAGUUCUUGCUUUUGAGGAAUUGUAUUAAAUGCACUGCCCCUCAAAAAUCAGUUCUUUGCUUUGAACCUAGAAAAUGUAUUUUGUCUGCUUUCAGAAAUGGAAAAUGUCAUCUUUGUUAGCUGUUUCAGUAGAUGGCACUGUUGAGUUAGCCCAAAAUUCCUAGAUGUAUUUGUUUAUGAUUUAUACUUACAUUAGUAGUAUUUUCUGAACUAUGUUAGUUCUGUGAUUUGAUGUACCAUGUACAUUUAGUUAAUGAGUAAUAAAAGCCAUAUAAUACUGGUUGAAAAGUACCAUGACUUCAGUUUUUUUAUAUAAAUCGUUAAGCAUUUCAGUGAUGUCAGCAGUUUGAAGACAUUCUUUCACUCAUGAGAACUUAGUCUGUUUUGAUUCCGGCAGUUAUGUUUUCAUAUGUAAUUAUAACUGUACUUUCAGAAAAGAAAUUAACAGUUUGAUUCAUUAGCUUCAGGUGUAUCUAGAAGACCCUGGGUACUUGGAAAAGUAAUGGAAAAGGAAUACUGUCAAGCCAAAAAGGCACAAAACAGAUUUAAAGUUCCUUUGGGGACAAAGUUUUACAGAGUGAAAGCCGUGUCAUGGAAUAAGAAAGUAUAACUUAUGGAAGUAAUUAAUAGGUUCUAUGACAUUUUCCUGAUUUGUCCAACAGUGCUCAUUCAUCACUACCAAAACAGCAGGCCAUCUUUUUAUACAAAAGUCAAUGUGACAAUGUACUUCAUUGGUGUACAUCAUUUACUUUUUAACUGGCUACAUUUUAGGAAUAAUAAAUUUCAUUAGAACCCUUGGCUGAAUUAAAAUGGUUUUGUUUUGGGACUUUUUUUUUUUUACCAAAAUAACUCUAGAAAUGUGGACCAAACUAGUUCAUUUUCUCAAAGGGCAUACCCUGUACAUUGUGGCUUAUAAUUAGCCAUAUUAAUUGCCUGUUAAAUAUACAUUAGCUUGAACUUAGAUGUUAAAUGUUAGUUAUUAUUACCAGCAUUUGUCCUUUUGUGAAAUCAGUAUCAGAAUACUUGCACUCUUUAACACAUUCUUUAUAAAAUGUAUAAAUUCUUCAAAACUAUUUAAAGAGGAGUGUUAUUGCAUGCAGAUAAUCAUUUUGAGUUUGCCUCAGUAGAUUACUAAAGCAAAUUGUUUCAUUUAUUUUUCUAAAUGCCCUUUGAUGUUUAAAAAAAAAAAGAACUAUAAUUUAAUUGACUGAUUUUGAGAUCAGCCAUAAAGAAUCAGCAAUCUUCAAAAGCACUUUCAAUAGACUGAUCAUCUGAGUUCUAAAGGGAAGAGUCUGUGUUGUUAACCAUUUCAAAUGCAGUACUCAGAUCUUCCCAACAUCUUUAUUACUCUGUUUAGAAUAAUCAUAUUGAUGAAAUCGUAAUUUAUGGUUGAGUUUCAGGAAAAAAGAUAUUCAUUGUACAUUAACCAUUUAGAGGUCAUUUAAAUAACAAAAUAUUGUAUUGUAAAAGACAUGUACAAUUUUAAAACAAUAAAGAUUUGAACCUGUAAAUGUGUGUGCCUUUUAAAGAAGGAUACAUUUUUAAUAUAUUUGAGUGAUUGUUAGGAAGUGUGAAAAAAUUGUUCUGUAUCAUAUCAAAGAGAAACAUGAUUAUUACAAAAAUGUUCUUUAUACUAUGUAACAGGGUAAAACAGUGUUAUAUAGAAUAGAAUUCUGUAAACUAGAUCUUUAGAGAAUUUGCCAUUGAACAAAGCUAUUUAAAUGAAUUCAUUGAGUUGGAUGAGACUUGUGUCAGGUUUGUUGCUAGAGAACAAUAAUAAAAUGAUUCUUUUUUGAAAAAUAUUUAAUUUCUUCAUAAAAAAUAAGUUAAAUAUUUUUUUAAAUAUGUGUACCUAAUAGUACAAAAAUGGAAUAAACAUCAUAGUGUAUAGAAAACUGAAUUUGACAACAUAUUAAUGAAUAAAUGAACAAAUGAUUUCACAUGUUUCUAUUCAA